AAAACUCUUAAAGCUUAUAAUUAGCCGAUCAGAUUUAUGUAUCAAUAAAAUCACAAUGUACAGGAUGCUAAUACAAUAAUUUCAGAGCCAAUUGAUAACGAUAAAAGCUUUAUCCCAAUUUUUUCUAACCUUAUGAUACCAUAACUAUCCGUGGCUGGUUCAUGCCAUGCUGGUUCAUGUCUGCCUCCAUUCUCCUCCCCGCUCCCAUCUGCUACGUUCUCUGUCUCUGCCACUCUUGGCGCUGCCUCCCUUUUCCCUGUCCAAUUACAGGCCUUCUGCUGCCCUAAUGUAAUUGGAUAGGGAAAAUCCUACAACACAGACAUAAUCAUUUCUUCUUCAGAAUCAGGAAUUCCGUAUGUGUGGACUAUUUCACAAUGGCGAGAAUGAUGACAGCUACUGUUCAGGCGCUGGCCCUCCUCGUGUAAACACAGCCUUUGACACACCAGGCUCAGAUCGUUUUGUGGGAAGGAGGGGAGCUAAGCUGAAACACCACCAACCUCCUUUGUCCUUCAUUCAAACCCACGCAUGUGUUCUUUGACCUGUCCACUCCCGUUUGAAGCCCAAACCCUUCCAUAUCUCUGCAACGGCCCUCCUUUCUAGAGCUCAGGCAAGCCAUCACUUACGUUUAGAUGUUAGGCUCAAAUAACAAUAAAUCCAGAUUCCUACUUUUCCUGAUACACUGAGCUGGGCCUCCGACGUCCACUUGACUGAACCGUGGGAGCCCAUUACUCUGCAGCACAGGUUUUGCCAAGCUCCCAGAACUAUGUAAGGUGUGGCACCAGCAUCAUUAUCAUGCAUCACUGCUCAGCAAGGGUUUGAGUCUUGGCAACAUUCUUAUUCACAUCCUCCACUGAUGACUCAUACAUAUGUGAGGUUCCAGCCCGCGACAGACUCUUUCAGUACCUAAGGCCUCCUACACAAAGAUGAUCCUUGUGGGCCAGCAGCAUGGCUGUCACCUAGGGAUUUGGAAAUGCAGACUCCUGGUUCGAAUUCGACAAUCAAAAAGAUUCAAAGUAGGCUGAUUCAAGAUGAAGAAAUGCUGUGGCACAGCCCAUAUCUCUUGGCCUGCCACAUUGGUAAAGCAGUGAGAGGGGGCAGUUUGAUGAAAGACAGAAGGUGAAGCAGAGUGGAGCCCGGUAUUGGAUCCAGGAACCUGUUCACCUGGAAUUUAGGAGUCACAGGUACCACUCUGGGUACAGAAAAGGAGGAGCAUCUUGCAAUUUGCACAUCACACGAAUCUGCAUCUCCAUCUAUCCAUCUAUCUGAAAUCAUCAUAAGGAAAAAGAGGCGGAUCAGACCAACUAUAGCUUGAUCUGUGGGUAUAGACAGUGUGAGAUCAUCCUCAAGUUACCUGCUGUGCUCUCCAAAGGACACAGACUGAGACCCAUGUGCGUCACCGCUCUUUAAGAUGAACAGGUAGGUAUUCACAAUGCUCCAGAAGGAAUGUCCUUGCAACAUAGGCCCUUCUUGGUGGCAUGAGAUGUCCCUCCCGAACACUGGCUACUCAUCCUCGUAUUGUCUAAAUCAUCAUCCCCUUAUCUCUUCUCCUUAACACAACUGAAGAGAGAAAGUAGCCGUGGCCAUUAUCUUCUGGAGAAGGUCCAGGCAUCUACGUGCCUCUGCUUCUUCUCAUUCUCAGGCAGAAAGGGCCAUGUCCCUUUGGACCUCUAGAGUCCAGACUGUCAUCUUCUUGCAAGCCUCUUCACCUCCGCAGGACCAGCUUUGCUUGUCAAGACACAAGACCAAUCCUACCUUCAUGGAACAGCGAUGAAGCUGCCUUGUAAACUCCAAGGAUCUCUCACCAAAGCUGAAGCACAUUAUGUCAUCUAUAAUGGUUUUCCAAUAAGCUUCAGGGAUCCUCCCGUUUCUACACCCCUCCCCCCAUAACAAAGAAAUCUCACAUCAGUGGUGGCGAUCCAAACUCAUGACCUCAUGCUUGCACAGUGGCUACUUCAUCACCUGGGCCAUCCCCCCAGUCCUUGCAUUCUCACAUAUCAAAACAUGCAACAUCUUAAAGUUGCUCAGAGAGUAAUGCCUCUUACCUGACGGCCUGAAGUCAAAAGAAGAUGUGUCUUGCCAGUGAAAAGGAUGGACCCAUGGGAGGCAGCAGAGGAGGCAGAAAAGCGCCUGCAGUUUGAGUGGUACCAUCUUAGGAGCUGAGCAGUGGCUUCAGUUUGAUGUUCUUCAGAGCAGAUAAUUAAAAGAAAAGAAAUACAAUGAAUGUACUGAAGUGCCCAGUAAUGUUAACAGUGAAACAUGUAUUGCUUAUUCAGAGAAAGCUGGCAAAAUCCUUGAUGCUAAUGGGUGGCAGAACAUGGGAAUAACAUUUCAAGACAGCUAAAUAUGAUUUUCUCUAUUUUUACAAGAGUCUUUUGGUUAUAAGAAAAACAUGGAGUCAUGAUAGUGACAACAAAUGAGUCCUUGUCGUCAUCAUUAUACCCAAAGGCAUAUCUCAC
rnacentral:lncRNA from 1 species